rnacentral:rRNA from 1 species
AUUGAACGCUGGCGGCAUGCUUUACACAUGCAAGUCGAACGGUAACAGGCCGCAAGGUGCUGACGAGUGGCGAACGGGUGAGUAAUGCAUCGGAACGUGCCCAGUCGUGGGGGAUAACGCAGCGAAAGCUGCGCUAAUACCGCAUACGAUCUAUGGAUGAAAGCGGGGGACCGUAAGGCCUCGCGCGAUUGGAGUGGCCGAUGUCAGAUUAGGUAGUUGGUGGGGUAAAGGCUCACCAAGCCGACGAUCUGUAGCUGGUCUGAGAGGACGACCAGCCACACUGGGACUGAGACACGGCCCAGACUCCUGCGGGAGGCAGCAGUGGGGAAUUUUGGACAAUGGGCGCAAGCCUGAUCCAGCAAUGCCGCGUGCAGGAAGAAGGCCUUCGGGUUGUAAACUGCUUUUGUACGGAACGAAACGGUCCUGGUUAAUACCUGGGGCUAAUGACGGUACCGUAAGAAUAAGCACCGGCUAACUACGUGCCAGCAGCCGCGGUAAGAC